rnacentral:rRNA from 1 species
UGGGGGAUAUUGCACAAUGGGCGAAAGCCUGAUGCAGCGACGCCGCGUGGGGGAUGAAGGCCUUCGGGUUGUAAACUUCUUUUGCUCUGAACAAGGCAUGCUAAUGGGUGUGUUGAGUGUAGGGGUUGAUUAGCGCCGGCUAACUACGUGCCAGCAGCUGCGGUAAUACGUAGGGCGCGAGCGUUGUCCGGAAUUAUUGGGCGUAAAGGGCUUGUAGGUGGCUGGUUGCGUCUGUCGUGAAAGCUCAUGGCUUAACUGUGGGUUUGCGGUGGAUACGGGCUGGCUUGAGUGCAGUAGGGGAGGCUGGAAUUCCUGGUGUAGCGGUGGAAUGCGCAGAUAUCAGGAGGAAUACCGGUGGCGAAGGCGGGUCUCUGGGCUGUUACUGACACUGAGGAGCGAAAGCAUGGGGAGCGAACAGG